UGUUAAAAUGACUCCAUAAGAGAGGCGUGGCUUCCCGUCUAGAGGAGAGAGUGGCCAUUUGUGGUUGGCAGGCCUGGCUAGGAGGCGUGGCUGGGCUGCGGAUGCGCCCCCUUCCGAUGUCUCACACACAGGCCUCUGGAGUAUGGGGAGCUGGAGAGCUGCAUUAGUAUUAUAGACACAGCGCUUUCAAACCGAGGGUGGAAAUGAAAUCAUUAAGUGGCUCAAAUGGAGUUUUGUUCUGUGCAUGAUUAACCCCAGGAGGGGAGUUUGGGAACAAAUAUACCUCCUCUACCUGUAUUACAGGGGGACUGAGCCACGGUGAAUUAAAAGAAAAUCAAGGGCAAAUUUGGGACUAGUCAGCUGUGACCAAGCCAUUUGUGUAGUUAAAUGGAGCUGAAAGCGCUAAUAACAGCUUUGCGGGUCAUGGAUCUUCUGGGAGGGUAGGGCAGGAGGUGGGCUGGGCAGGUGGGCAAGGAUUCUGGCCCUGGCUUGCCCAGCUAGAAUUUGAAGCGGGUCUGUAACCUGUCAGCCUAUUCUUGUCAUCUAAGUGUGUAUCACUUCCUAAUGUAUCCUUUUGGUUCUAGAUGGAGACAGGAAUCAGGGUUCAACCCGAACCAUUGGUGGAGACCUUAGCUAAACCUGGAAGACGUCUAAUCUGCGCACCUCUCCGCAUGCCCAGGGUGAAUCGCUUUACAGGGCUAUGACAAGGAGGACUUGAGACAAAUGCUGUUUUCCUGAACUAUACCAAUUGCAGUGGGACCCCUCAGGUACCCGGGGCUGUUCUGCUGCACUGUGGUCCAGGAGAGUUAGCAAAGAGAGAGACCGGCAGAGAAACACUGUGGAUUUAACUUGGUCUAGAGGAGCCUUGUGAGCUUUCAGCUUGAGCUGAUUCUGGCCUUCCCCAGCUCAACUCCCGCCCCCCCGCCCCCCCCCCCCUGUUCUCCAUUGUUGAGAGCCUUUAGGUUUCCAGCUUCUUUGGAGUUCUUCCUGCAAGAGAGAGACCACACAGUUGGUGUGUGUGUGUGUGUGUGUGUGUGUGUGUGUGUGUGUGUGUGUAUCCAUUCACAUUGCAGACACAUGCAUAGCAUGUGUUUGUGCACACACAUUUCGUUACACUGGGGAUGCAAUAGUACCUUGUGGAGUGAAGGAUGCACAAAACAUUUCCCCUGACUUUUUACUGCUCUGCUUCCUUAGGGCCAUGGUGCUACACACUGGAGAGCUGUGUGGCAACACGGGUGAAGAGAUAGAAGCAGGAGGACCUGUCCAGGAUGCUAGCCUUUCUCUUGCUCUAAACAUGGCCCAGUCCCUUGACCCCGUUGGGUCUGGAGACAGUAAUGCAGCUGCAAUGGUAGCGGAGGAGUUGGGAACACACUAGCUUAGCAAAGCUGGUGCUUACUGCACGAGAUGUCCAACCCCUCUCCCUGAAUCCCUUUCUCUAGGGAGAACAGUCAAGUCAUCCCAUGUGUGGGGGCCUUAGCGUAUUCCUCUGACAAUGAGACUGUCAAAGAGUCCCUCUAUCUAGAGCCAAUCCUGACAGAGUGCAGGUAGAGCCUAGAGGAGGGAAGUCUCUCAUGCCUUGACUCAUACCCCCAUUUCCUCUCCUGCUUUGUGGGCCUAGCCAAAACCUUGAUGUGAAACUCUGCUCUGUUCAUCCCUCUGACAGCUGUUUGGUCUCUUGUCUUCAAGUUGAAUUUAGGCAACCAUGGGCAGCCUGAUGUUGGGAGUUAUUGUAUACUCAGCAUAUAGUAUACAUUCAAUAAAUUGAAUCCAAGAUA